GAGUUUGGGUCUCUUGAAUGUUUGUCAGUUAAUCAUUUUCCAUCAGUGUGCUAUUUUCUAUCACUGCCUUCAAUAUCAUUUGCUGCUAGUUUUCAGGGCACGAAGGGAAGCUUAUAAGGUUGACAUAAAAAAGUGAGAGCGAAGAUCAUGAGGUCAUCAUUGAGGUUUAACAAACAACGUUGCUUGAUGUUAUUGACCAAUAGGUCACCAAUAAAAGGAGCAGUGUCAGGGAGAAAUGGUUCUCAUGACAGCUGUUUACCAGACAGAGGAGUUCCAGGAAUGUAUUGUAACAAGCAGAUGGUGCAACUCAGUGGUGGGCAUGUCCACUAUGAGAUGGUACAUUGGUCUGCAGAAGUUCUUCAAAUUCUGCCUGAGGUUAACCACCACUGCUUACCUUGAGAAAGCCAGAAACAGAAGUCUAAAUCAUGGACACCCGAUGGGACAUCUGCUUUGUUCCUAAUGCUGGAUGAUACUGUUCCCCGUUCCCCCCUUUCUGUAUUUAUCCCGUCAAUUUUUGAGAUGGUAGUACAUUUCUAUACUAAAAAAAGAUCUGAACUUUUA